rnacentral:rRNA from 1 species
UUGACCUCGAAUCAGGUAGGGAUACCCGCUGAACUUAAGCAUAUCAAUAAGCGGAGGAAAAGAAACCAACCGGGAUUACCCUUAGUAACGGCCAGUGAAGC